GACGAAGGGGGCUAGCGUUGUUCGGAAUUACUGGGCGUAAAGCGCGUGUAGGCGGCUUUGCAAGUCGGGUGUGAAAGCCCUCAGCUCAACUUAGGAAGUGCGCCCGAAACUGCAGAGCUUGAGUGCCGGAGAGGGUGGCGGAAUUCCCCAAGUAGAGGUGAAAUUCGUAGAUAUGGGGAGGAACACCGGUGGCGAAGGCGGCCACCUGGACGGUAACUGACGCUGAGACGCGAAAGCGUGGGGAGCAAACAGG
rnacentral:rRNA from 1 species